UCGGGAAUUUUGGGCAAUGGGCGAAAGCCUGACCCAGCAACGCCGCGUGAAGGAUGAAGUAUUUCGGUAUGUAAACUUCGAAAGAAUAGGAAGAAUAAAUGACGGUACUAUUUAUAAGGUCCGGCUAACUACGUGCCAGCAGCCGCGGUAAUACGUAGGGACCAAGCGUUGUUCGGAUUUACUGGGCGUAAAGGGCGCGUAGGCGGCAAUUCAAGUCAUCUGUGAAAUCUCCGGGCUUAACUCGGAACGGUCAGAUGAUACUGCUUUGCUAGAGUGCAGAAGGGGCAAUCGGAAUCCUUGGUGUAGCGGUGAAAUGCGUAGAUAUCAAGAGGAACACCUGUGGCGAAGGCGGCCACCUGGUUGGAUACUGACGCUGAGACGCGAAAGCGUGGGGAGCAAACAGGAUUAGAUACCCGAGUAGUCCCUGAGCGGGCUGGCAAGGCGCAU
rnacentral:rRNA from 1 species